AUAGAAAUUAUUAAUUUUAUUUUAUUUAAAUUAAAAUAUUUUAUAAAAGUAAUUUAAUUAUUUAUUGUUUUAGUAUUUAGUAAAAAUAAAUUUGUAGAUUUAUAGUUUAAUAGUAUUGUAUAAGAAUUUUUUUAAAUUUGGAAAAGAAUUGAAUUUUUAGUACCUUUUGUAUCAGGGUUGAUUAAAAUUUUUAAUUUAAUUUUAAAUUCUCAAAAUAUAUAGAGUUAAUUUUAUUAUUAAUUUAUUAUUUUAUAAAUAUUUAGAAAAUAAUUUUAGUUUUGAAAUUUAAUUCGUUAUAUAAUAUUUAGUUAUUUAAGAAUUAAAUUUAAUUUAUAAUUUUAAAAGUUUUAUUUAUAAUAUUAAAUAUAAAUUUAUUUUAAAUUUAAAUUAUUUUAGGGAUAAGCUUGAAAUUUUUAUAUAAUAAUAUAUUUAUUAAAUAAUUUUUAGGAAUAGAAAUUUUUAUUUAAGUUUGUAAAAAUUUAUUAUUUAAGUUUAUUUAAUUUAUUAUAAGUUAUUUAUUUUUAAUAUUAAAUUUUAUGAAUUAAUAAUUUAUUUAUAGUAAUAAUGAUUAAAUUAGUAUAAUUAAAUUAUUUAUAAAUUAUGAAUUCGGCAAAAAUUAUUUUCAUCUGUUUAACAAAAACAUAGUAUUAAGAUUUAUUUAAUAUAGAGUCUGCUCAAUGAUUUAAUUUAAAUAGCUGCAGUAUUUUGACUGUGCAAAGGUAGCAUAAUAAUUAGUCUUUUAAUUGGGGACUGGGAUGAAAGAUUUGAUGAAAAAUAAACUUUAUUAUUUAUAAAAUUAAAAUUUUAUUUUUAAGUAAAAAAGCUUAAAUAUUUUAAAGGGACGAUAAGACCCUAUAAAACUUUAUAAUUAUUAUUAUUAAAAUUUUUGGGUUAUAUAAAUUUUGAUAUUUUUAAUUAUUUUAUUGGGGUGAUAAAAAAAAUUAUUUAACUUUUUUUAAAAUUUUACAUUAAUUAAUGAUAUUUUGAAUUAAAAUUUUUAAUUAUAUGAAAAAGUUACUUUAGGGAUAACAGCGUAAUUAAUUUUUUAAGUUCAAAUUUAAAAAUUAGUUUGCGACCUCGAUGUUGAAUUAAGAUUAGUCUUAGGUGCAAAAUUUUAAGUUAUAGGUCUGUUCGACCUUUAAAUUCUUACAUGAUUUGAGUUCAAACCGGUGUAAGCCAGGUUGGUUUCUAUCUUUUAAAAUUAAAUUUAUUUUAGUACGAAAGGAUUAAAUAAUUAAAUGAUAUUUUUAUUAAUGAAUAAAAUUAAUUGGA
rnacentral:rRNA from 1 species